rnacentral:tRNA from 2 species
CGGGCUGUAGCGCAGUUGGCUAGCGCGCAUGCAUGGGGUGCAUGAGGUCGGAGGUUCAAGUCCUCUCAGCCCGACCA